UAAAAAAAAGCUAAUCUUCUCCAAGAAGCUUACCUGGCUCCUUGAUCUUCACGGGGACAAUUUCUGGAGGGGGAACUGGAACUGAAAGGGAAAGAAAGCCCAAAGAGGUCCUACAAUGCCAGGGACAGGAUCUCUCCGGGGGCCAGAAAGAUGGGAAGGAUGGAGAGGAAGCACAGAACUUACACCUUCCUGACACAGAGUGUGACAACUGCUGUCCCUAACCUAUGCAACUACUCAAUAAAGGAAUCUGCGACUUUCAGUCUGCAACACCUGAGCAACGCUGUUAACGAAAGGAUGCUGUGAAGGCUGUUAACUCACACUGAGUCAGAAGUGACUGGACGGCACACAACACCUUCUCUGCUUUUUUCCUUCCACCGGGGAAGCGAAAGUGGCAGAGGUGUAGCUAAUGGCAGUCUAAGGCUACAGACGGCCACCUGGUCAUACACUUCCAGAUGCCAUGCACUGAACUUUCAUCAAGCGGCUGUUCCAAGGCUCCCAUUUGUGCGGACUCAUCCCCACCAUCAGCUUCAAAGGCAAAGUUAGCGCCAACGGACAGAGAAGCAUGGAAGAACUGAGAGAAUUCUGGGAUCCGACCGCAUCACUUCUCACAAGGUUACCCCCCCGAGAGUCAGGCAGCCGCUCCAUUAUCAUCUUUACAAGAAGCACCUAACGUUGCUUACAUGGGUCGGUCUGAAUAUGUUACGAGGGCAAUUACCGCCAUCGCUUGCAAAGCCCUUCAUGGCUUCAGACCCUCGUAUCUGCAGGACUGCCCCUCCUCCUGUGCCGCAGCACAACCACUUUAUUCACCUGAGCAGGGCCUUCUACAGGCCCAACCCUGCAAAUGGGCAAAACCAACGACUGCUGGUUACAUAUGAAUUCUUUGCAACGGCGUUCUCUCUGUGCAACGGCCCGCCUGAGGAAGUCAGGAAGGCUCCCACACUUCCACCUUUCCACAAACUAUGUGAAGCAGAACUGUUCAGAAGGCAUUUUUUGACAAAGGAAUAGGGCUGCCUUAGAACAGACUGAUUUAGGAAGACAUUUAGACAGAGAGAACAGAUCUGUGGAUUAUACUACUAAUACAUAUAAUCUGUUGCUGUAUGUUUUUAUCUUGCUCCCACUGCACUACAUUUCUACUCAGUGGUGGUGGAGAGUGCCCUCAAGUCAUAGCUGACUUAUGGUGACCCCUGGUGGGGUCAUGGCAAGAGACUAACAGAGGUGGUUUUGCCAUUGCCUGCCUCCGCAACACUGGUCUCCGUUGGAGGUCUCCCAUCCAAUUACUAACCAAGGCCGACCCUGCUUAGCUUCUGAGAUGUGACGAGAUCAGGCUCACCUGGACUGUCCAGGUCAGGGCAUAUUUCUACUUACGUAAUACCAUUUCUUGCAUUGUUUAACAUGUCAUACUUAACACUUAUUGUGCCUUGUUUCAGGUUUAUUAAAUGCCUCUUCAUCCUACUGAGCGUACUGAUUUAUGUUACAUAAUCUACCUUGAAUCUCCGUCAGAAAGGCGGACAAUCCCAUCUAAAUAAAAUGAAAGGAA